rnacentral:misc_RNA from 1 species
ACAUUGUAUAGCCGUGGUAGCUGUGAAUUUGAAAAAACUUUAAAAAGUAGAACUGAAAAUUUAAUUGCAAACCCAAAAAAAAAACACACACACACAAAGUGUCUCUUUUCAUUUAAAGUUUUGACCCUCAACAAAACAUUCAAAAUGCAGUUAUCCUACCUUGAAUUCUUUAGUAUGCCCAAUUAACGCACUGUUACAAAACUAUAGAUAUAAACUUAUACUCUAAUUUUGAAUUAUUUGUAUGGUGUAAUUAUGCUUCUGGAAAUUUGCAACCAAACAAUACGGACAAAUACCCAAAAGUAAACAUCUGUAUAUGCCCAGUCAAAGAAAAAGGAAAAGAAAAAAGGAAUAGGCGAAUAGCAUAAUGAUGUGUGAUUUAGAUAUUUAAUGCAAACUAAUUUAGGGAGAUAUAAAUAUUCAAGUGACUUGACCAAGUAAAAUUGAUUUUGGAAAACCAAACUUUGGCCAUGCUUACAGAAAAUGAAAGACGUUGACAUAAGUGUUACAUAUGUUUUAGUCUUCUAGACAAAAGCACAACAUGUUACAUUACAUCAGAACUUUAAGACAGCCACUUAUUUCAAAAGAAGAGGAAACAACUGAAUCUAAGAAUUUCUAUGUAGAGAUCUCGAGCUUUUAUUGUACUUGGGAGCACAAUUAGAACAUAAGAUUCACGUAAAUGAAAAGGUAAUGUCUUUCCUCUCUUAAAGUGUAUUUUAUGCAAAUAAUGCUUGAACACGUGGGUGUGAGGGCCAUGGCCAAUUUUUUUUUUUAAUUUUUUUUAUAUAUAUGAAAAAGCUGGAUUCUUCAAAAUAAGAAAUUAAGAAUUCUAAAUUACAACAUAAGUUAGUGAAGUAUGCAUGCAUGCUCACACAAUCAAACUUACUUAUAUUGUGAAAGUACUGAGAUUGCACUAAUACGCAAGGCAUUCAAGCAUACAUCUAGUCCCACACAGAAAAAUGUAAAAAAGAUAAUUUAUAAAAGAAAAUACCAGCUUCUGCAGUCAAUGGCCAAA